GAUUUGUUCUUUAGUAGCAGAUGAUUCCCUGUUCAUAGAGCAUAGUACACCAUCCUGCUGGUCAUUUUCACUGGGACUUGUUCCAUCAUUCUCCCUUUGAACAUUACCACCCUCAAGGACUUCACUAGGAGCAGUUUCAGGUUCUGCCAAAGG